UCUAAACAUAAGAAACGUAAAUAAAAUAACAUUCAAUAAUAUCAUACAGUAACUACCAUGAAUAACUACAAUAAGGGAGACACAAUCCAAAACACAAAGCAUCUAUGGAUAGCCCUGCCAAGCCUCACCCAACCCUGGGUGAGGAGUACGAAAAAUUCUAGGGGCACCUAUUCUACAACCCUGAUACUAGACCUCCAGACUUUCCUAUCAAGGGUCAUGUCCUCAGAAACCCGCAUUCUAGCAUGUCAUGCCUAAUCACCUCUCCCCAAUACCUCUUAGGCCUCCCUCUGCCUCGCCGUGCUUCGACCAUCGCCAGCCGCUCACAACUCCUCACCGGGGCAUCCGGAAUUCUCCUCCGUACAUGUCCGAACCACCUCAGCCUCGCUUCUCGCAUCUUCUCAUCCACCGGGGCCACCCCCACCUUCUCUCGAAUAACUUCAUUCUUNNNNNNNNNNNNNNNNNNNNNNNNNNNNNNNNNNNNNNNNNNNNNNNNNNNNNNNNNNNNNNNNNNNNNNNNNNNNNNNNNNNNNNNNNNNNNNNNNNNNNNNNNNNNNNNNNNNNNNNNNNNNNNNNNNNNNNNNNNNNNNNNNNNNNNNNNNNNNNNNNNNUCAAUCACCGACCCAAGAUAUCUGACACUGUCCCUCUUGGCGAUGACCUGAGAUCCAAUCAUCACGUCCCUGCCUACUUCGCUCGGUCGGCGCUAAAUUGCACUCCAGGUAUUUUGUCUUAGAUCUGCUUAUUUUGAAACCCUUAGACUCGAGAGCAUGUCUCCAUACCUCCAACCUCUCAUUAACACCGACCCUCGUCUCGUCUAUCAAGACUAUGUCAACAGCAAAUAGCAUACACCAAGGCACACCCCCUUGAAUAUGNNNNNNNNNNNNNNNNNNNNNNNNNNNNNNNNNNNNNNNNNNNNNNNNNNNNNNNNNNNNNNNNNNNNNNNNNNNNNNNNNNNNNNNNNNNNNNNNNNNNNNNNNNNNNNNNNNNNNNNNNNNNNNNUCUCGUCUAUCAAGACUAUGUCAUCAGCAAAUAACAUACACCAAGGCACAUUCCCUUGAAUAUGUCGGGUAAGAGCAUCCAUCACCAAGGCAAACAUGAGAGGACUAAGCGCCGAUCCUUGAUGGAGCCCCAUAACCCCUGGAAAAUGGUCUGAGUCGCCACCUACCGUCCUAACCCUAGUCUUAGCUCCAUCGUACAUGUNNNNNNNNNNNNNNNNNNNNNNNNNNNNNNNNNNNNNNNNNNNNNNNNNNNNNNNNNNNNNNNNNNNNNNNNNNNNNNNNNNNNNNNNNNNNNNNCCAAGCACCUCCAUAGCACCUCCCUUGGGACCUUGUCAUACGCCUUUUCCAAGUCGAUAAGCACCAUGUGCAUGUCCUUCUUCUUAUCACUGAACUGCUCCACCAACCUCCGGACAAGGUGGAUAGCUUCUGUAGUGGAGCGACCCGGCAAGAAACCGAACUGGUUCACAGAUAUAGAUGUCAUCUCCCUCACCCUCGCCUCGAUCACCCGCUCCCAGACCCGGCAUUGAUUUUUCUCUCAAUAAAUCACUGAGAGAAAAUUAAAAAGGCAACAACUUUUCGAUUAUUAGAACACCAUCUUAAUUCCUUUUUUAUAUUAGUCAAUUACUUAGAAGCAAACAUAUACAGAGACAAAAAAAUGCAAAGAAAGAACGGUACCAAUCUAUAACUUGUCGAAUUUUGGGAGCAAAUUCUUCAACCUACAAAAAAAACCUAGAUUAAUUUUGGAGUGAAUAAACAAUAACAAUAACGUUAAAUAUGAAAAGAAUAAAAAUUACUUGUUGAGGGGUGAGUGAAAUUCGAGCAGUUUCAGCCAAACGAGGAACAUCGGGAGGCUCUAGGACACUCGAUUUUAUAGAGUAGCCUCUUCGCUGCUUAAUAGACAGUGGUAAUGAGGAAAUGCCAUUUUUGGUGAAACUGAAGAAGAAAGAAUCAGUGGCUGGUUUCAGCAAAUGCAAAGCUUUGAUGCUGCUUCCCAUGGAUAGAUGGUGUUUGUUUGAAGAGGAUGACGAUGAUACUGCAUUUAUUUUGGACUUAAGCCCAUAUUCACAUUUUGGGCUAGACUGUAACUGUUUGGAGGAAAAAAGAGAAAAUAUGAAACUUUAUUACCCUUAAUGUUUAAGGCUUGUGUUAAUUAUAUUUUAGUAUAUUAAAUUAUUAUUUAUGUACCAUAAUUUAAAUUAGGGAUAUAAUUAAGGGUGCAUUUAUAUUAGGUAUAAUUAUAGGAUCAUAUCUUUCCGCUUCUUCCACCUCCACCCCCCACACGUUUUAUCUUUACCCGUAACUCCCUCUUACGUUUCGGUUUUGAAUUCCACCAUUGACCCCAAUUAAAAAUCUUUGAAUUCAAAUUGGAGUUUACAAAAAUUAUUAUUUAUUUUGAUUGGGUGUUAUUAUAAAUAAUUCAGAAUAUGUUUAGAAGUUUAUAUCUCAAUUUUGAGGGGUUUUGGUGAAGAUUUAUACUUGGUUUUGGAAGAAUUUCAAAUUGAAACUCGAAGAAGAAGAAGAAGAAGACAUAUUUCUAAAAUUUGUAGAUAAAUUGUAGUCAAAUUAGAAAAAUUUUCGAUAAAAUGUAGACUGCUUUUUGCAGAAGAUUUUGUAGAAACUUUAGUUGUUCUGGAUUUGAGAAAACAAAAAACGAUGCAUCUAUAAUCAGAAUACAAAUAUCUACAAUUUAUCUACAAGAUAUCUUCAAGCUAGAUAGAUUGAAUUUUGAUAUCCCAAUUCCCAUUUCAGUUGUAGCAUAAUUGACAUUUUCGACAUAAUUGUAGAAGAUUUGUAGAAGUUUUAGUCUUCCCANNNNNNNNNNNNNNNNNNNNNNNNNNNNNNNNNNNNNNNNNNNNNNNNNNNNNNNNNNNNNNNNNNNNNNNNNNNNNNNNNNNNNNNNNNNNNNNNNUCUAUAAUUUAUCUAUAAUUUCUGGAAAUAUGUCUUCUUCUUCUUCUUCAAGUUUCAAUCUGAAAUUCAGUCAAAACCAAGUCUAAUCUUCACCAACCCCCCUCAAAUUGAGAUAUAAACUCCAAACCAUAACCUCAAUUAUUUUAAACAACACUUAAUCCAGACAAAUAAUGAUUUUUGAAAAUCCAAAUUUGAAUUCAAAGCUUUCAAGCUUUUUAAUGGCUAUAAAUGCUGAAAAAUAUAUGGAAGAACAGAUGAAGAUGAAGAUGAAGAACAUAAAUCUCCUUUCCGUUCUAAAAUUAUGCAGCUUCCAGAUCUCCUUUCCGUUUUAGAUUUCGAAUUUAAUGUGGAAUAAAAUCCCAGCUUUUGUGGCACUUUUCGCGCACUAUAAAUGGCAGAUUCUGCCUAAUUAACAAUUGGUAUAUAAAUUGUAGUUAAAGUGUGGACUAGGUGGGUAAUACACAAACUAUGUACAUUUUUGGUAACAAGGUUUCAUAUAUGGUAUAAUUAGGAAAAAAUCCCAAGAGAAAAUAUAGCUAGAUUUACUUUUAAUAAUUGAAAAUUAGCCACAAUUUUAAAAUUGAGUUAUUUGUUUAUGUAAAAUAAAAUUUGAACAAAAAUAUUUUAAAAAAUUUGAAAUAAUGCUAGCAUAAUAAGGUGGAAUUUGAUUUUUUUUUUUUACAUAUGAGAAUUUUUAUGAUAAUUUUUCGUGUUUCAGCUAGGGUAUAUUUGUUCAUAUUUCAUCUUUACAUAAAAUAGUGAUUAUUUUUCAAAAUACUAGCUCUUUUUUAAUUAUCAAUAUGAGAAACUAACUAGCUCAUUCUAUUUUGACUUGUUUGGAUCGGGUGAAGUGCAUCAAUAGUGGUCAAAGUGAAUAAUCUUGAAGUUUUGUCCCCGCUUACAAACGGGGUUGAAAUUCAACUUAGCAAGUGUUAUUCCUUACUUGUUUCACGAGCCAUACUUUUAAUUUUUGAUCUUAAUAUUUUGAAAAUGGAUAUCAAAAGUUAAAGCCAUCCCAAAAAGUAUCAUAUUUCUGCAAAUUUUUAGUUUGAUGUGGUGGACUUUAAGUACUGGGAUCAAGUUUAAAGGAGAGUCGACUUGGAUUUGUAUUGAUUUUGUAAGAGUCCUUCAUAACUAAAUUCCUCCCAAAAAAAAAAAUGUUAUGGUGUAAAAUGAAUAAAGACCUCAAGAUCUUCGCAAAUAGAAGGAAGUUUUUAUAGAUGAUACAUUGAUUUAUGUUUUCCUUUUUUUAAUUUAUCUCUUGUAUUUAUUUUGUUAAAUUCAAAAUUUAUUCUAAAUCAUCUCGUAAGUCAUGUUUAUUGAGCAGAAUAAAAAAUAUAUUUUGCACAAGAUGUUCAUGAUAAAGAUACUUAUGAAAAAAAAAAUAGAGCUAGAACAUACCUCCUUACUAGCCCCGUGCGGUGUUCUGCUAGGGUUUAUUCUGUAAUUUUAAUUAUUCGAAUUAGGUUUUCUUAUUUGAAGUUGUCAUUGUUAUAAAUCUGUGUUUGAAAAUAAUUUCUGCUAAAAUAAAACAAAUAGAAUCAGAAACAGAAUAAAUAAAAGUUCUGAACCCGACAAUAAAUUAUAUUUUCUUAAGAAAUUUAAUCCCCUCACUAUUACCUAAGGUUAUUGAAUUAAUACCUCCUAUGUCAGAACAGAACAACUAUUUUGUUAUUCCGUCAACAAAAAUUACAGAACUAGGUCGAACCAACAAAACACAUUAAACCACACUUAUGCUUACAUUUUACUUUGGAAACAGUGCAAAAAUUCAGAAGAAAAGGGGGAGAGUAUGCACAUUUUUGGUGCUGAAAAAUGAGGCAAAACCUCUGAAUUUAUAGCGAAGCCGAAGUCGAGCGAGUGACGACGAGGACGGCGCGAGUCACCACUUGUUUAUCUCUUUAAGAACUACAAUAUAUGCUUCUCUAUAUAUACACAAAGAUUUUUUUCUAUUUUUCUAUGAGGAACAAAGUGCAUUAAUGAAGAAAACAACUACAAACUUUUCGUAACAUUCUAAUUUUUUCCCUCUAUUUCUCAUUCACGUAUCAUAUCUAAUUAGAUAAAAAACUCAACCGUCACAGCUAUGAUUUUAAGUUGUACCGCAAUGUUUGCUACUUAAUUGUUACCUGACAUCAAAUUUAGUUUUAAGAAAAAAAACUUAGCUUACUUAAUUGGAAAAAGGGCUCAAUUAAAAAAGUUCCAAGACUAUUCAGUAAAGAAAAAAUUGUUAAAUUAGUACAACAAUUUUAAAGAAAAUUAAAUUUUCAAAAGUUGAUUCAAUAUUAUCUGGGUCUACUGAAUAUUGAAACGUUAAAAUAAAUUUAGGAAUUUUAUUAGUUUAUCCUCAUGUAAAUUUAAAAUAAGUAAUUUUAUUAUUUUGCAUGGAAAUUAGGAGAUAAUAAUUCAUAUCAUUACAGAAAAGAAGGUUGAAUUAAGGUAUAAAUCACACAAGAGGACAUAUUGUAGACAAUAAAGUGCGUUAAGAAAAUAAAAUCAAGACCGAAAAAUAUUGCAAACAAUCGUAGUAUUUUAUUUCAAAUAUUUUAGUGUACAAUUUCUAUGAAUCAUUUGUAUUUUUUUAAUAGUAAAUAAAUUUAAGGGCUUUUGAGCUUGAUCUUGAAUAUGUAGUUGUCGCUGCGAAUGAUGAUUUUGUUCUUGAGCUUGAGCUUGAUUGCUUGAACUUGGCCGAGCUUGAACUUGAUUUGUUCUUCGUUCUUGAGCUUGAACUUUGUUGCAUGAAGCUUGAAACUUGUAGAGAAAUUUGCGGCGUUUGAUCCACGAGCUCUCUUUUGCUUCUAGUUAUAACUUCUGAUGUCUUUUCUGGGUUAUGAAGACCCUUAUUUAUAGUUGUAGAACGGAGGAGUCAUGAUAAGAACAAACUCUUUCCGACCAAUCAAAUUGAAGUGUGAUAUGUCCACAUUUGAUUGGCCAGAACAUGUCACUUGAACACAUGGCGCGAUUUCAUUGGCCUUUUAGUUAACAUGCCUUGUUAUUUUGACAUGUGGCAUGAUCCUAUUGGCUCUUCCAUUUCACUUGGUGCGCCAAGUCAUUUGACACGUGGCACCAAACUGGACCUCUAGAAAGAUGUCACCUUGGACUUAAUGAAGUGGGCUCAUCACUUUUGUCCAAUUAAAUGAGCUAGCAUAAUGGUUUAAGACUUAUUUAUUUAAUAAUCUAUAUAUAUUAGAUUUAUAUAAUUAAUUUAAUUAUAUUAGUCCGUAAUAUUUAUUUGAACUAAUAUACCUCGAAUUUAAAUAUAAUUCCAAUUAUUUUAUGGAUUUAAUUCUAAUAAAAUUUAUAUGUCUGUAAAUAUUUCUUACUUCAAGACUUAACGGGUUUAAGCAUAUCCAAUCCUGGAAGGCGAGGCUUGAAGCAUUAGCAAAAUAUUUAUUUUAGAAUGAAUACUCCGUGAAACAUAUUCACUUAACGGGAAAUGGGUGCGCAUUUCACAAUACAUAUUAAACACGUGGACUAAUUUAAGUAUAUAGGACAAGCUCUUUUAUUUGAUUUGAAACUUUUCCUCACAUUAGUAUUUUGUACCAAACAUUUGUUCUCAUGGAAAAGUAUGAGGAACCCACGUAGCAUACAAUCUGCAUAUUUCCAUAGGAUUAGGAAAUUGGAAGUUGUGGGCUUCAGUUAACUUAAGCUUUGUCAUAUAUUAGUUUUUGAUUCCCACUUGAACUCAAAGAGUAAUCAUAAGAUUAGCAGCCAACUAGGUAAUUCCGUAAAAUUACACCGGCUUCUUUGCCGUCCAAACUCCAAAUUCUUUUGGGAAACUGAUUUCCGUGAUUCUCACAUCGUCGAUAGGCUAAAGCAAGCCAUUUAGAAAUAUCUAUAUAAAGCCAUAUACUCUUGUUUAUUGAGCAUCAGUUCGCAGUCGCUAGGGGUAUUCAAAAUCGAAUCGAAACCGAAAACCUAAUUGGAAUCGAAGCUUAAUGGCUUAUUGAUAUCGGGUUAACAGUUUAACGAACAUGGAACGGAUUACAUUUUCUUUAUUAAGGCUUAUUCGUUGGGGGCGGAUUAUUUGAUUUUUUUAAUGGAUAAUCCGUUAAUAUAUAUAUAUAUAUAUAUNNNNNNNNNNNNNNNNNNNNNNNNNNNNNNNNNNNNNNNNNNNNNNNNNNNNNNNNNNNNNNNNNNNNNNNNNNNNNNNNNNNNNNNNNNNNNNNNNNNNNNNNNNNNNNNNNNNNNNNNNNNNNNNNNNNNNNNNNNNNNNNNNNNNNNNNNNNNNNNNNNNNNNNNNNNNNNNNNNNNNNNNNNNNNNNNNNNNNNNNNNNNNNNNNNNNNNNNNNNNNNNNNNNNNNNNNNNNNNNNNNNNNNNNNNNNNNNNNNNNNNNNNNNNNNNNNNNNNNNNNNNNNNNNNNNNNNNNNNNNNNNNNNNNNNNNNNNNNNNNNNNNNNNNNNNNNNNNNNNNNNNNNNNNNNNNNNNNNNNNNNNNNNNNNNNNNNNNNNNNNNNNNNNNNNNNNNNNNNNNNNNNNNNNNNNNNNNNNNNNNNNNNNNNNNNNNNNNNNNNNNNNNNNNNNNNNNNNNNNNNNNNNNNNNNNNNNNNNNNNNNNNNNNNNNNNNNNNNNNNNNNNNNNNNNNNNNNNNNNNNNNNNNNNNNNNNNNNNAUAUAUAUAUAUAUAUAUAUAUAUAUAUAUAUAUCAAAUAUCAAAAUCCUUCCACUUCCAGUACUCUAUCUCUAACCUUAGUCUAGGGACAGUAACAACAUAUGCUCAUGCGAUCUAGUUAUCAAUGAUAGAGUUUCCCACUUGGAUUAAAGCCAAAAAGACAUAGCCUUAGAGCUUUAUGGUAACUUAUUCUUACUCGAUCAUCUUGUCAUAUCUUUGACACUCAGUUCAUCUUCUCAUAAGCUUAUGUGAUACUAAGCUUAGUGCCUAUCAUGAUAGUUGACAAAUGUAUAUUUUAACCUUAUAACAGUCAUGUCUCGUUGCUCGAACUAUUCAAACAUUCUCUGUAACACAUAUACUCCACUAAAUAGGAGAAAACUUUUAGUUAUUAGUACUUCAUAAGAAGUCAAACACCAUGAGACCUCCUUAAAGGAUAUAAUUGUACCUAUAUUUAUCCUUGUCCAACGUCUUGCAGUAACCUUAUCAUGGUUGCCGCUCUCUAUGCAGUGUGUUUUGCUUUUUUCACUCUACAACAUAUGACACAUUAUAUUAUUCUUAUGUGGGUCGAUAAAUUGCCCGUUAACCAUUCGAUAAGAGCUAAAACGAUACCAAUCUGCCCGUAUCUUAUCGGUAGCUAGCAGAUUAAUACAUUUAAAAGCUGAUAAUCGAUAAGCCAAACUGUUAAGAGUAAAUAACCUCCCAAUCCGCCCGAUAAGCAUCCCUAGUCUUUGCAAGCCACUUGAGUCUAGUUUUAUAGACUCAGAAGCAUUAACGCGAAGGUAAUUUUUUCUCAUUUUCUUGUUUUGUUGUUUUUUUUUUCUUUUUUUUGUAGGUCAAGCGAGAAAGAUAUGUUCUUGUUCAACAAAAUGAUCCAUGCAUGAAGAAGGUGGCCUUAGGGUGUGAGGGGAUGAGUACUCAUCACUGCCCAAAUAUCGGAGAGAUUACUCUCAAUGUGCCCCGACUAUCGGAGAGAACACUCUCAAUAUGCCCCGACUAUUGGAGAGAAUACUCUCAAUGUGCCCUGACUAUCAGAGAGAUUACUCUCAAUAGGGCCCGACUAUCGGAGAGAUUACUCUCAAUGUGGUCCGACUAUCUGAGAGAUUACCUCAAUGUGGCUAGACUAUCUGAGAGGUUACUCUCAAUGUGGCGCGACUAUCGAAGAGAUUACUCUUAAAAAUGACCCGACUAUCAGAGAAAUUACUCUCAAAAUGACCCAACUAUCAGAUAGAUUACUCUCAAGACGGCCCGACUAUCAGAGAGAUUACUCUCAAAAAGACCUGACUAUCGGAGAGAUUACUCUAAAAAAGACCCGACUAUCAGAGAGAUUACUCUCAAGGUGGCCCGGCUAUUGGAGAGAUUAAUCUCAAAAUGACCCAAUUAUCGGAGAGGCCAACUUAAGGUGCAAAAGAACUCAUAUGUCCUCUUUAAGAUUGGAAAGUUACAGUUCCUUUUAAGGACAAAUCCACGAAGAGGCCAACUUAAGGUGCAAAGGGACUCAUAUUUACACCUUAAGAUUGGAAAAUUAUAAAGCUUCAAUUCAAAGACGACAUCGACGUGACGGUAUCGACAUGAUCACUUGGAAAACUUUGAAGAUUUGGUGGAAAUUUCAGACUUCAUCUCAAAGAUUUGGAGGCAUUAAACAAUUCAACUUUAAGAUCAGCGAAUUUAAAGACUGAAAAUUCAAGACCGAAGGACUUGAAGACUUCAACUUAGAAGGCUUAAAUAUUUCAACUUUGAGACCGGCGAAUUUGAAGACUGAAACUUGAAGAUUGACGGAGUAUAUGACUUCAACUUUCGGACUUGAAGGGCUUAUAUAUUUCAACUUGAAUAGUGGUGAACGUGAAGACUUCAACUUGAAGGACGCAACACUUGAAGAUUUAAACUUGGAGACUUCAACUUGGAGACUUUGAGGGCUUAAGUAUUUUAGCUUCUCUUUUGCUUUACAUUGUUCGACUUUUAUCUUAGUCGCAUAAUUUUUAGCUUUACGCGCUUGUAACAAAAGAUUCAUAUCUUAUCGUGGGAGAGUCCAAAUAAUGAACCGUUUGAUUUUUCGAAAAUUAGACUUCAAUAUCUAAAAUAUAUCCAAAUCUUAGAAUCAAACACCUUCAUAAUCGAUCCAAAUAAAAUUUUGAAACCAACUUUAGAUUCCACCAUGUAGAAAAUUUCAUAUAUACGCAGUCUCACCAAAAAAACCAUAUCUUGAUGUAGACAAAUCAGAAUUAUGAGCCGUUUAAACUUAACUUGAAAAUCUAUAACACAUCCAAAAUUUAAAAUUUAAUUCCUCGAGGACAGUUUUAGAUAAUACUCCGAAUUCAAUAUUAAUUCUGAUGCGGCAACGGUUUCAGAUUGCACGACUUCACCAAAACUUUUGUUCUUACUGUAGGAACGUCAAAAUCAUGAACCAUUUGAUCUAUUAAAAACGUAACUUCCAAAUAUACCACAUAUCCAAAAUUCAAUAUUUAAUGCCUUAAGGAUACAUGCAGAUAAUAUUUUGGAGUCAAUACCAAAUUCUUACAUACCGACAAUUUAAGAUUUGCGCAUCUUCGCCAAAAGUUUUGUAUCUUAAAGUAGGAACGUCUAAAUCAUGAACCGUUUGAUCUAUUGGAAACUUACUUCCAAAUAUAUAACAUAUCCAAAUUUAGAAAUUUAAUUCAUUAAGGAUAGUUUCUAUUAAUAUUUUGAAAUUAAUACUAAAUUCUGACACACUGACGACUUCAGACUUGCUCAACUUCGCCAAAUGUCUUGUAUCAUGAAGUGGGACAUCGAAAUCACGAAUCACUUAAUUUAGUGGAAAAUAAAAUUCAAAAUCUAAAACAUAUAAAACAUGAAAAAUAUAAUGCCUUAUGAAUAGUUUUAGAUGAUAGUUCGAAGUCGACUUCGGUUUCUGAUAUGCCGACCGUUCCAAAUUAGCACGACUUCACCAAAUUUUUUGUAUCAAGGUGUGGAAGCCUUGAGAUUGGAAGAUGUCCUACUUUCCAUCAGUCGAAAUUUAAGAGCUAUAUUCUCACAAAUAUCUUGGGUUCAAGUCUCAUUAAAUUUGAAACGUAGUGCCAAGCAACCUUUUCUUUAUACUUGUAUUUUCUUUUGACGCCUCUCUUCUCUUCCCCUUCUUUUAAGGCAGAUGGAGGACUUGGAUACCAACAAACUUGAAGGUUUGGUGAACCUGAAUAAAUAUAGAAUCCCUAGACUUCAAUACAAAUACUUGACAUCAUCUUAAAAUCGUCCUAUUGAAAAUAUCAAUUUACCAUGGAAGGUUGCCCCCUUUAAAUCAAAUGAGAUCAAAGUUCAACAGGAGGAUGGCAUUUAAGCUUGAUCUUAUAUUCCUUCGUACUUCAUUAGAACAACAAUUGGGGCAAUAUAUAUCUUUUGAACUUAUACGACUGAACUUAGAAUAAAACUCUAAGUUGCCUACAUACCUCGGUGAAAACGAUUAAGUCAUACCGUAGUUCAGACAUGUGUGAUUUUUUUUAUAUGUCCUAACUUUUUCUUAGGCCGCCUAUUUCAAAGUUUUCAACCUAGCAGACUCCUUUUUUUGUAGGGGUCAUACACAGUUUAGACUCAUGCGGACCAAGAGUGUAGCAACAAGCAAUUUAGGCUCAUGCGUCAAGGAGCGUUGUAACUUCUAGGAUAAUACUUCUCCAAAAACUUGUCAUUGAUAGGGUCGAUUCUCAUGCCAUCUGCAUCAACCAACUUGGAAGCCCACUUGGGUAAACUUCUUGUAUGACAUAUGGCCCAUCCCAUUUUGAAGUGAACUUCUCUAUAGGUUUAUGGGAAGUAAUUAUGGGUUUUCGUAAGGCAAGAACUUAAUAUCCUACUUGAAAGGAUCUCAGGAAGACUCUUUCAUUGAAGGCGCAAGGCAAUCGAGCUUGAUAACAUUCAAAACUUUGUUGAGCUUUCAACCUCUUCUCAUGAAGAGCCUCCAACUCUGCUAAUCGAAGUCGAGCAUUUUCUUCAUCAGUGAUACCUUCUUUAAUAGUCAGUAGUAAUGAAGGUAUUUGAUGCUCGAGUGGAAAGACGGCUUCGACUCCAUAAGCCAGUGAAUAAGGCUUUGGAGACGACUUUCUUUAGCAAAUUGCAUAGAGUUUUAUUGAACGCCUCAGCUAGACCAUUGGCGGCAUCAUUGUACAUCGAAGAGUUACGUUGCUUGAAGCCAAAGAGAUCACAAAUCUUAUUCACCAACCUAUUAUCAAAUGUCUUUCCAUUAUCUGUUAUUAUGUAGCGAGGAAUGACAAAGUGAUAAAUAAUGUUUACUCGGAUGAAAUUUGCAACAUUUUCCUUCUUUACUUCCCUGAGAGCGACAACUUCAGCCCAUUUUUAGAAGUAGACUAUUGUAGCCAUGAUGUAUAGGUGCCCACCAGAGGACUUUAGCAGUGGUCCAACAACAUCCAAUCCCCAAGCGUCAAACGGCCAGGAUUCCACAGUCGGGUGCAAUACUUUAGGAAGUUGGUGAAUAAAAUUCGCAUGGAAUUGACAAGCCUUGCAUCUUCUAGCUUAGUCCAAGCAAUCUUUUACCAUCGUUGGCCAAUAAUAUCCCAUCCUUUUUGUACGGAAGUGCCAAACUGGUGUGACCCACAUACCCUAGAACGCGCUUCUUGCAAAGCUUGGAGUGAUUCAUCUUCCCUUAAGCAUCACAAAAGUACUCCCUCGAAUGAUCUUCUGUAUAGGGUAUCUUUGUACUAAAGGAAGUGAGGUGCACGCAGGCGGAUUUCAGUUCUUCUCUGCGGAUUUUCUAGAAGUACCCAUAGCACAAGUAGUUGAUAAUGGGUUGUCGCCAUUCUUCUUUCUCGACUUCAAAACAAGUACAAGAUGCUUGAGUUUAUUUUCUUCACCUUCAGCUUCAUUUGGCGGCGGUACUACCCAUUUUUGGUAGACAAUAACUUGUGCUUGAUCAGGCAGGUCUAAUGACAAAGCUAGGGCGGCUAAAACAUCAGCCUUCUUAUUUUCUUUCCUUGGCACAUGCUGAAUAGUCACAUAACUGAGCCACCCCAUUAAAUUUUUAGCGUAAUCAUGAUAUGGGCGUAGUUUAGGCUUCUUAAACUUGUAACUACCUAAAAUAUGAUUGACCACUAACUGGGAGUCAGCAAAUACUUUCAAUUGCAAUUGCUUCAUAUCAACGACGAUUUCAAGCCCAAGUAUUAAUGCUUGGUACUCAGCAACAUUGUUGGAACAGAGUUGUGUUAAGGUGGAAGAGUAGGGCAAGGCUUCACCAUGGGAAGUGACAAAUACUACGCCAGCACUAGCUACUCUAUGACGUGCAACACCAUCAAAGCACAUAUUCCAUGGAGGUGAACUUCAAUGACCAUAGCAUCCUCAUCAGGUAGUAGCUCCCAGUCAUCAGGUAUUGGAUGAUCUGCCAAGAAGUCUACCAAUGAUUGUCCUUUACAGCCUUUUGAGGGAUGUACCCAAUCUUGAAUUGUUGAAAUUGGAGGUACCAUCUCGCUAGUCGAUCACUACGAACAUGUUUUGACAUCACGAACUUGAUAAGAUUUGCCUUACAAAUAAAACGAACAACAUGAGCCUGAAAGUAGUGCUUCAACUUUUGAAUUGAGAAGACUAGCGCCAAACACAACUUUUCAAUUGGCAAAUAAUUCAGCUCGUUCAGUGUCAUCAUCCGGCUCAAAUAGUAAAGAGAUUUUUCUUUCCCUUUACUAUUGUUUUGGGCCAAUAGUGCUCCUACAAACCUUUCUUAUGGCACAAUGUAUUGUAUCAACGGCUUUUCAGGUAUAGGGGCUGCUAAAACUGGAGUCUUCAUCAAGUAGGAUUUAGUGCUCUCAAAGGCAUUAAUGCACGCUUGGUCCCAUUUGAAAGGGACACAUUUCUUCACAAGGUAACUGAAUGGUUGACACAUUCCAACUAGGUUCGAGAUGAACCUCUUAAGAUACUCUAACUUUCCUUGCAAACUUUUCGAUUCAUGGAUAUCCCGAGGCUCAGGCAUUUUCAAAGUGGUAUCCACUUUGGCUUGAUCAAUUUUGAUCCCUCGUUAUUGGAUAAUGAAAUCAAGGAACUUUCGAGAAGCAACUCCAAAGGCACAUUUCAAUGGAUUCAUCCCAAGUUGGUACCUCCGGAGCAAUUCAAAUACCAUCUUCAAGUCCUUCAAGUGGUCGCCGUUCUCUCUUGAUUUUACCACUAAGUCGUCAACAUAGCAUUUGGCAUUCUUAUGGAGAAGAUCGUUAAAAAUAUUCUGCACAUCCCUUUGGUAAGUAGCACCAGCGUUCUUCAAGCCAAAAGGCAUUACCUUGUAGCAAUAAAUCCCCUUUAGGGUACGAAAUGCAAUAAGCUCUUCAUCUUUUGGUGCUAUGUGUAUUUGGUUAUAGCUCGAUGAACCAUCCAUAAAUGACAUUGCCUCAUACCCAGUAGUAGCAUCGAUCAUAAGUUCUAGAAUGGGAAAUAGGAACUCAUCUUUCGAACACGCAUUGUUAAGAUCCCUAAAGCAAAGCACACUCGCAUCUGGACAUUUUUCUUCCUUAUAGAGACAAUACUUGAAACCCAUGUUGGGUAUUUAACGUCACGAAUAAAGCCACUUUCGAAGAGUUUGUUAACUUCUUAUUCAAUUAAGGGAACCAAGUCCGGCCUAAAACACCUUUGAGCUUGUUUAACAGGGCGAUCACCAUUUUUGACUGCAGGGUGAUAUACUGUUACUUUUGGGUCCAAGCCAGACAUCUCUUUGUAACUCCAAGCAAAGACGUCCCUGAACUCCUUGAGUAACUCAAUAUAAGUGCUAUCUUUAUCAGCUUCUAGAAAGGCACUUACGUAGGUGGGUCUUGGCUCUUUAUCAGUGCCAAAGUUGAUUUCUUUUAAGGCAUCAACUGUCGUCUUCACUCCUUCUUCAAGUUCAGGUGGAGUAUCUUUUGCCUCUUCAUCUUCUUGAGGGUCCCCAUCGUUAAACGAUAUGUGGAAACAUGGUGAAACAUGCUCCAAUUAUGCAUUAUCCUCCAUCGAAAACGGAACACCAUUCUCGCAUUGUACAUUGACAUGAUACGAAGAGCCUACACUUUCUUCAUCUUUAUCACAUUCCUUAGUGCAGACCAUAACAUAUGGUUUUACCUUUAGUACUUCUUUACAUGAAACCACACGUUUUGUUUGUUGCCUAAUUCUUGAAGGAACCAAACUUUGGAAAUCAUUAAAGAUCUUCUGGAUUUUGUGUGGAGGGGGUGUUCUUUUGCUUAAAAAAUUUCUCUGGAACUUGUUCCCCUUCUUUAAUGGACAUAACGGAAGUUCUCAUAGUUGAUUUUCAAAGUCGGUCAAAGAUAAAAGGCCUGUUAGAAGCGGAAGAUUCAUCUUCUACAAUGAUGUAAUUGCUACUCACUCUUCUUAUUGAGAUGUGCAUCGGUGACAGUUGCUUGUAUCCCAAACCUUCACGUGGUUGUCUCGUUGCAGCUUCUGAUGGUAGCUUCCCUAACUUUGACGGCUCAUUAAGAUUGUAUCCAGCUUUUUCAAAUAGCUUGUAAGUGUUAGGAUGAAAACCUUCAUCUAUUCACUUUGUGGGGAGUGCCAUGUUCUGCAGACGAUUUUGGGCCACAAACCUUGCAAGCAGCAUUGAGGACGACUUUAUUGCCUCAAUUCAUUUGACCAGAAGAGUUAACUCCUUUAGUAUGUUAGAUUGGAGAUUAGAUGAUUCACCUUCAUCUUUAUUCCUUUUUAAGGACAUAUUGGAGCGCACGACUUACUCUCUUUCCCUUUGUGAUAUUUAUUCACGUUGGCAUGUACCUCCUCAGUAACAACUUUGUCUCUACCUAUAGUCACCUCAAAUCUUUUAGUUAUGGGCUCGUCAUUCUUUCUUUUCCUGCGACCAUCAACUUUUAUCUCCUUCACUAUGCGGUUCUUCAAGUAGAACUUUGCAUCAGCGAAGUGUGACUCAAUCUCUGUGAAUGGCUCAUCGUCAGCAAAUAUCUUCAUUCUCGAUUUCACCCUCAUAGUAUUUCAAACAUUAAUGGUAGGUAGAUGGAACCACUUUGUUCUUAUGUAUCCAGGGCCUUCCAAGCAAGACGUUGUAUGAAGUUAUUGUAUCGAUCACAUGUAUCCAUGUACUUGAUUACAUAUCAAUGGUGAUUUCCAGCCUGAUCGUGCCUAUGGAUCUUUGCCCCCCUUAGUUGAAUGCUUGGAUCAUCACACGACUUUCUGAGAGUUUGUUUACGGGAAUAACAAGUUCUUUCACAGUGCGAUUUGGUAAAAUAUUCACUGAGGAUCCUCCAUCAACCAAAAUUCAAUUUACCUUUUCAUCACGCGUAUAGCCGAUCGAGUACAAUAGGCAGUUAUGAAGAGUAUCACCUAGCAGAAGAUCGUCAUUUGUGAAUGUUACUUUUUUCUCACAAGCAUUAACUUCUUGAGGAGUGGAAUCGAUGAGCUUUUACAAAGAUGGUGCCAACUGUCUUUUCUUCCCAUUUAUCAGCAUUGCAACAAAAGGCCUCAAUACCCUCAUGGGAAAUCUUCGUGCGGAACUAACUUGGUAAGAACUCCUCCAAGGUCACUGGAUGUCGUGGAUUUUGAGGAUAGUGCACCUCCACUUUUGCUUUCUUUAAAUAGUUAACUGGAUUCCAUCUCUUUGGUCUUUUCACUAUCAUUUUCCUUGUUGGGUGUUCUAUUGAUUCUUUUCGUGGGCUCCUUUUGUGGUGCCUACGACGAGUCAAUGUCCAACCUUCAUCAUCAUCAAGUUGAUUCACUUCGACUUUGUCGCUCUCCAAUAAUUCUUCAUCUUUACUUUCUUUAGAACCACAUAAUUCCUCCGGACUGAAUGAGUCAAAGGUGAUAGAGACAUGGUUUGCGUUUGCUUUCUCAUCUUCAAGCACGAUCUUCUUUUCGCGAGCCAAGUCCAUGACUUUGUCCUCGAAGACAGAGCACUUCUCCAUAGGGUGGCAUACAAACCGGUGAUAUUUUCGGAAAUUUGGGUCAUUUUUUUUCCCAGCGUCAUUUGGUCGCUUCAUCUCGGGAAGCUCAAUAAGAUUUAGCUCGAGGGGUUCUUCGAAAAUGGCUGGCAUAUCAAAAUCCAAAAAUGAGUACUCAUUCUUUUACAGUUCUUUUCGAGUCAACUUUCCACUUGUCUUAUCAUGAAAAGAAGUGGAUUUCAAACUCUGCUUCUUGCUCACCUUGGUCGUGAACUUCACAGGUGACGUGUUGACAUUCAUAUCUUCUUUGCUUUCAGUCUUGGAUACAAACUUGCCCCACUUCCUGACUUCUUGCUUGUCAUUCACUUUACGAGGUUCAUAGAUGGGUAGCCUUUCAUUUCCAGCGGAGGCCAUGCUCAAUUCCGUGUCAUGGGCAUGAGUUAGAAGUUCUUCAAAUGCGUCUCUUGAUAUCUUGCAAGAUGUAGCGCAAUCCCCAAUGCAUGCCUUGGAUGCACAUAUCUGUGCUUGAAGCUUCACUAAGCCUAUCUUUGCAGUUGAGGCUUGCAUUCAUCCAACGAUUAAUAAAGUCAAUAACUGGUUCCCUCUUUCGUUGACGAGUAUUUGUAAGUUCUAUCAUACUCAUAGUACGCCUCAUACUAUAAAAGAGAUUGAGGAACUCUUGCUCUAGUUGAUCCAACUAUCGAUAGAUCCAGCCUCGAGGGUUGUGUACUAGUCAAAAACAUUUCCUUUUAGUGAGCAGAUAAACUGCUUGAUGAGGUAAUCUCCAUAAGUCCCAGCAUUUUUGCACGUCUCCACAAAGUGCGCCACAUGUUGCUUUGGGUUACCUUUGCCAUCAAACUAUUGAAACUUUGGAGGUUAAUAGCCAGCAUGCAUCUUCAACAUAUCGACCCUUGCAGUGUACGACUUUGCAUAUGUAAGGGAGGUUUUGGCAGCAACCUCAUAUUUGUUCUUAAUUGUUACUUCAAUAGACUCAUUUAGUUGAUCGAUUAGAAUCAUCCCUUCAGAUGAGACAGGGAUAGCCUUAGUGGAUGUUACUUGUCUCGGGGGAGAGUCACUCUCUAGAACUUGUGGGAGCUCGCCGGGUGCAUGGAUGGAUUAUUUUUCAAUCAAGAUUCCAACCCUGUAUGUUAGCUUAUCGAUACUAGCCUCUUGAUUUUGCAUGUAUUUGGUCAAGACAACGAUUGCUUCUGUCAAGUUUUCCAACUGCUCCUCCACGGAUGUAGUAUUUGUCACCAUGGUUUGCAUGAUUGUUGUGGACGACGGAGAGUAGUAUGAAUUUUCACACAGAUUGACCCUUGAUCGCUCACGCUAUGUAGUGUAAGUGGGGAGGAUCCAUCACUUGAAACAUCAUCAUCUUGUAGCAGAGUGCUUCGAUCUGGAGAGGUCAAGCAGAGCAAGAGUUUUCUUGAUCUUUUCAACUACACCGAUUCCUCCUUCAGAUGCGUUUGUGGAAGAUCUUGCUCCUUUUGAGGAUUAAGAUCCGAAAAUAGGGGUUGACCCGGAUGUCACAUGGGUGCUUGUUGUCCUAAAGAUCUAGCUUUGCUCCUGGUCACCGAUCUGAAGCUUCCAAAGGUAACAUCGAGGAUGCUUUCCACAUCAGCAUAAAACCUGGAGUUAUGAGCCUUAGUGGAAGUUGAACCGGAGUUGAUUUUCUUUGAAGCCAUUUCAAUGUUCUGGGUCUUUGGUGAUCGAAAAGUUGCGAUGAGAGGUAGAGAUCGUCCCACUAGGCAUGCCAAAAUUUGUAGACAAUAAAUUGUGUCAAGAAAAUAAAAUCAAGACCGAAAAAUAUUGCAACAAUCGUGAUAUUUUAUUUCAAAUAUUUGAGUGUACAAUCUCUAUGAAUCCUCUGAUUCUUUUUUUCAAUAGUAAAUAAAUUCAAGGGCCUUUGAGCUUGAUCUUGAAUAUGUAACUGUCGCUUUCUUUCCUAUUUUCUGGACAGGGCCUAAAGGAGCAAAGUCCAGUGCAUGGUAGCGCCUCCAGAGUUGGAGGUCAGAGCACGCCCGUCCAGUGUGCUUCUUUCACAAGGAGCGUCUGGAGUCUCUUAAGAAAGGACAAAGACUAAUUAAUAUCAUGUUUACACCGAUCGGAUUUAAUAAAGUCCUUCGCUGUCUGGUUGAAAGUAGUCAACCGGCUUCUUCACUCAAGUAGCACUCAAACGAAAGAAUAAGCAAGAGGAAGGAGUUGUCCAUGGGAUGGACAACGAACUGUAUCGAUCCUCCCCGGCCUCUUCUCAUAGAGUGAUCCUAUGAUCGAUACAGGAUAUAGACUAUCUCAUUCUUUAUUCUAUUCUAUUUCUGAAAGAAAAAAAAAAAGAAGGGUGACUCAACUUCUCAGCUAGAGUUGGUGGUGGGACCUGUUGGCAUAAUGCACGCUGGAACGUGGGAAUUCGAGGUCUCAUGAACUACUACUAAAAACCUACUUUGUUUUUGUUUUGUUUGUGGACAAACGAUAUCCGGUCAGGCCUAUGGCUGGAUCCUUUUAGAUCUACGGGCCGGCCGGCCCCGGCCGUUUACAUGAGCAUAGGGAAUCUAUACUCGAGCGUUCCACUGGGCCCCUGACAGGAUAGGUGAGGAAUCACUCUGGAUCUUCUUUUUUUGGGCUACAACUUCGCCGAGCCGACUAGCAUCGAAAAAAACAGAAGGGUGACUCAACUUCUCAGCUAGAGUUGGGUAUUGAUUUGACCCCAUAAGCGGGACCAAGCAUGUUGCCGCCAGAAGCAAUCUCCUGUCAUUGCUAUCUCGUGCGCGAAGGGUUGCUCAUGCUUCCCUGUCUCUUCUUUAUCGAUAGGAUUCCCAUCAUUUUCAGUCUACCGCGAAGGAGACAAGGGCGAGGCACCGAACAUGUUCUACCCUCAACCUCCAUCCGUCAUUAGUAAUCUCAAUUCGCUUUUCCUAUUCACUAGUACACUGCGCGCUACAACUAGCAGCCCCUUUACUAGGUUGGGAAAAGGCUAGCGCGCUAGCGCGCAACGGCUGAUGAAAAGCCAGCAACUUGUUAGGAGUCAGUUUUGGCUUGCCCCUUUCCUGCUCGAAUUCAUGAUUGAGAAAGAAAUCUUCCAAUCUCAGGAAAUUCGCGCAGCGGAAGAUCCUGAAUUUGAGACUUUCUACACCAAAAAUAUGUAACUGUCGCCACAAAUGAUGUUCUUGUUUUUGAGCUUGAGCUUGAUUGCUUGAACUUGACCUUGAUUUGUUCUUCGUUCUUGAGCUUGAACUUGAUUUGUUCUUCGUUUUUAAGCUUGAACUUGGUUGCUUGAAGCUUGAAACUUGUAGAGAAAUUUGCGGCGUUUAAUGCACGAGCUCUCUCUUGCUUUUUGUUAUAACUUAUGGUGUUUUUUUGGAUUAUGAAGACCCCUAUUGAUAGUUGUGAAAGGGAGGAGUCAUAUUAGAACAUACUUUUCUGACCAAUCAAAUUAAAGUGUGACAUGUCCGUAUUUGAUUGGCCGAACAUGUUACAUGCACACGUGGCGCGAUUUCAUUGGCUCUUUUUAGUGUGACUUGACAUGCUUUGUCAUUUUGAUACAUGGCAUGAUCCGAUUGGCUCUUCCGUUUGACUUGGCGCGCCAUGUCAUUUGACAUGCGACAUCAAACUAGGCCUUUAGGAAGAUGUCACCUUAGGCUUAGUGAAGUGGGCUCAUCACUUAGCCAAUUAAAUGGGCUAUCUCAAUAGUUUAAGACUUAUUUAUUUAAAGAAUUUUUACUUCCUAUAGCAAAGGUUAACACCUUAUUUAUUUUAAAUAAAUACUAUUUAAAAAAUUAUAUUCUAUAGAUACCUUUUAAGGUAUAUAGCAAAAUAUUUAAAUAUGGUUACCUCCAGUCCUAAGCCACUAAAUACGCUAAUCAGUCACACUUUUUUCUUUCUCACUCUACUUUGAUACAUUCCAUUCUCUUCUCCCAUCCUAUUAAAAUUUCCGAGCUCCUCCUCGUUCCACCAGAUUUGUGUAAAGUCGACUCCAGAGUUGAUUUCGAAUUGUAAAUCUAGAUUUUUGUUUAAAGAUUCAGUACGCCAAUUUCCAGUUACUUCAAGAAAGAAAAAAAGAGGAAUAAGUUGGUUAAUGCGCCAAAAUUUUGAAAGAAGAAAGCUUUUAUACAUUUGCUCCCUCUGGGUAUCUUCCUCUGGAUUUUCAUAAAGCACUAUCUUUUAGUAGUAAUUAGCCAUCUAUAGAUACCAUUUGCUAUACUAUACAUUAUAUAUACCUUUUCCGUGGUUAUAAGACGUAUUUAAUAUAUUUAGGCUAUUGUAUUUAUGAAUGCAGUAGCAAACUAGGUGUGAAUCAUGGAAGUCCAGCUAAUCAGUUGUUGUAUUCGAGUGUAUUAGACUAUAUUCAUGAAGUAAAACAUGAGAUUACAACUGGACAUAUUAUUGUAUUUGACUGUAUUCACGGCGUCAAAUAGGGGAUUACAUUAUUUUUAAAACGGAAAGUGAAUCAGUUAACAUAAUAGACUCCUAAUAUAACUCAACAAACUCAAUUGUAACAAAUAAAAUUAUAUUUUCAGUUAUAAAAAAGAUUCUCAACCGAAAAAUAUCCCAAAAACAUACCAAUAUUCAGAGAAAUUAUAUAAUACAUAUAAAUACAUAAAUUAUAUUAAUUUAAAAAAAUAUAUGAAUACAUUCAUGGCAUAUAGCGAGACAGUGAAUACAAUAAAAUACAUAAAAUACAGCAAGAUACAUUGAAAUACAAAGAAAAAAAGACAGUGAAUACAAUAAAUACAUUAAAUACAAUGAGAUACAUUGAAUUACAAUAAAAAAACAAUACAAUGAAAUACAUAAAAAUACAUUCAAAUAUAUUGACAGAAAAUCAAGUUUCUCAGCCCCAAACUUCGUCGUCUUUGCUCAAGAACAAACCCUAAUUUCCGGCGAAUCCACCAUAACAAUACACUUUAACCAACGACGAAACAAUCCACAGAACCCUCUCAAAACCUUCCUAUAACGGCGAAAUGGCAGAAACCUACCCUUUCAAGCUCGACCCAUUUCAGGAAGUAUAUGCCACGUGCUUAGAACAUAAAGAAUCAGUUCUUUAUAUUUCACCUUUAGGGAUAAGCAGAGAGUUACUUAUACUUUACCUCUGAAAGCAUUGAGCAAUCAUAAGUUCUUUGAAAUCAUUGAGCAAUCAGAAGUAUCGAGAAUUAAUCCAUGUGUUUAGUGACAUUCAAUUCGGUGAAAGAAUUGAUUUGGAAUGUAAAGAAAAUAGUUUAGAUGAGAGAAAUUUUGAGAUGGAGCAUCGUAUUUCCAGGAAAUGGGGAAGAGAAUGGAUUGUAUCAAAGUAGAGAGAAAAAAAAUAAUGUAACUGAAUAGCGUAUUUAGUGACUUAAGGCUAGGAGGUAACCAAAAUUAAAUAUUUUGCUAUAAACCUUAAAUGUAUCUAUAGAAUUUAAUUUUUUAAAUGGUAAAACAACAACAACAACAACUACCCAAUAUAGUCCCACAAAGUGGGGUCUGGGGAGGGUAAUAUNNNNNNNNNNNNNNNNNNNNNNNNNNNNNNNNNNNNNNNNNNNNNNNNNNNNUAUAGUCUCACAAAGUGGGGUCUGGGGAGGGUAAUAUGUAGACGAGCCUUACCCCUACCCGAAAGGGCAGAGAGGCUAUUUCCAAUCGACUCUCGGCUCAGUGAAGGAAAGGAAAAACAGAAACAAAAACAACAGAGCAUUAGUAAGUCCAGCAGAAAUAGUGUAAAUAAUUAUCAAAACAUAAGAAGCAUAAAUAAAAUAGCAUGUAAUAAUGUCAUACAGUAACUACCAUAAAUAACUACCAUAAGGGAGACACUAUCCAAAAUACAAAUCAUCUACGGAUAGCCCUGUCAAGUCUCACCCAACCCCGAGUGAGUAGUACAAAAAAUUCUAGGGGCCCCUAUCCUACAACCCUGAAACUAGACCUCCAGACUUUCCUAUCAAGGGCCAUGUCCU
rnacentral:lncRNA from 1 species